rnacentral:rRNA from 1 species
GGGAACCUACGGGACGCAGCAGUGAGGAAUAUUGGUCAAUGGGCUUACGCCUGAACCAGCCAAGUCGCGUGAGGGAAGACGGCCCUACGGGUUGUAAACCUCUUUUGUCGGGGAGCAAAGCGAGUCACGUGUGACUCAUUGAGAGUACCCGAAGAAAAAGCAUCGGCUAACUCCGUGCCAGCAGCCGCGGUAAUACGGAGGAUGCGAGCGUUAUCCGGAUUUAUUGGGUUUAAAGGGUGCGCAGGCGGAGGUGCAAGUCAGCGGUCAAAUUGCGGGGCUCAACCCCGUACUGCCGUUGAAACUGC